CUUGAACUUGCUGCAUUGUCAAAGAUGUCUGUGAACUAUCAACCCCUUUGAUUCUACCUCUUGAUUCCUAGGAUGACAGGCAGUGGAAACCAUAGCAAGCCAUAGAUUCAAGACUACCAACUCUCCACUCAGGGCUGUGUGACUCAGUUUCCUUCCUGGAUACUAACCUUGGUGUGGGUCUCUGUGUCCUGGUGUCAUUUUCCAUCUGAAACGAUUUCAAAAGGAACCCACACAUCCCAGCAGGAGGAAGCCAGGCCGACUUGCCAUAACAGAAGCGGCCUCAGAAGCAAGUCCAAGACAAACGGCGGUGUAGCUGUGUGGCGGGAAGGAGGCUGCCCUAGGAAAUCUCUGCCCAGGCAGGGCUGCUGGAGUGAGCAAGCUGAGCCAGUGCCGGAAAGCCACGCCCACCCCAGGACCUGUUCCUGAGUCGGAAGGAACUUCUUACCUUCCUGCAGCUUCCCCUUCACUCAAGCUGCUGCCCACCCCUGGCCACCUUUCCCUCCCGACCUGAUGGGCACCCUGUUCCUAGCCACUCAUUCCCUUUGGACCCCCUUCCUUUCUCCUGCUGGGCUCCCGUCCUCCAGGAAGUCAUCCUGGGACCCAAAGCACAGUAUCACUCCCGUCUGAGGCCUCCCAGGAAGUCCCUCCCCCUUCAGGGGCCUCCCAGGAAGUCCCUCCCCCUUCAGAGGCCUCCCAGGAAGUCCUCCCCCUUUCACCCUUGGCUCUUUGGAUUCCACCAAAGUUCCCCAUGGGGAAAGGCAAGAGGUGUGGUUGGUCAGUCAGGGUUCAGCUCCUUACCGGUUC